GACGAACGCUGGCGGCGUGCUUAACACAUGCAAGUCGAACGGAAAGGCCCUGCUUUUGUGGGGUGCUCGAGUGGCGAACGGGUGAGUAACACGUGAGUAACCUGCCCUUGACUUUGGGAUAACUUCAGGAAACUGGGGCUAAUACCGGAUAGGAGCUCCUGCUGCAUGGUGGGGGUUGGAAAGUUUCGGCGGUUGGGGAUGGACUCGCGGCUUAUCAGCUUGUUGGUGGGGUAGUGGCUUACCAAGGCUUUGACGGGUAGCCGGCCUGAGAGGGUGACCGGCCACAUUGGGACUGAGAUACGGCCCAGACUCCUACGGGAGGCAGCAGUGGGGAAUAUUGCACAAUGGGCGGAAGCCUGAUGCAGCAACGCCGCGUGCGGGAUGACGGCCUUCGGGUUGUAAACCGCUUUCGCCUGUGACGAAGCGUGAGUGACGGUAAUGGGUAAAGAAGCACCGGCUAACUACGUGCCAGCAGCCGCGGUGAUACGUAGGGUGCGAGCGUUGUCCGGAUUUAUUGGGCGUAAAGGGCUCGUAGGUGGUUGAUCGCGUCGGAAGUGUAAUCUUGGGGCUUAACCCUGAGCGUGCUUUCGAUACGGGUUGACUUGAGGAAGGUAGGGGAGAAUGGAAUUCCUGGUGGAGCGGUGGAAUGCGCAGAUAUCAGGAGGAACACCAGUGGCGAAGGCGGUUCUCUGGGCCUUUCCUGACGCUGAGGAGCGAAAGCGUGGGGAGCGAACAGGCUUAGAUACCCUGGUAGUCCACGCUGUAAACGGUGGGUACUAGGUGUGGGGUCCAUUCCACGGGUUCCGUGCCGUAGCUAACGCUUUAAGUACCCCGCCUGGGGAGUACGGCCGCAAGGCUAAAACUCAAAGGAAUUGACGGGGCCCCGCACAAGCGGCGGAGCAUGCGGAUUAAUUCGAUGCAACGCGUAGAACCUUACCUGGGUUUGACAUGGAUCGGGAGUGCUCAGAGAUGGGUGUGCCUCUUUUGGGGUCGGUUCACAGGUGGUGCAUGCCUGUCGUCAGCUCGUGUCGUGAGAUGUUGGGUUAAGUCCCGCAACGAGCGCAACCCUUGUUCACUGUUGCCAGCACGUUAUGGUGGGGACUCAGUGGAGACCGCCGGGGUCAACUCGGAGGAAGGUGGGGAUGACGUCAAGUCCUCAUGCCCCUUAUGUCCAGGGCUUCACGCAUGCUACAAUGGCUGGUACAGAGAGUGGCGAGCCUGUGAGGGUGAGCGAAUCUCGGAAAGCCGGUCUCAGUUCGGGUUGGGGUCUGCAACUCGACCUCAUGAAGUCGGAGUCGCUAGUAAUCGCAGAUCAGCAACGCUGCGGUGAAUACGUUCCCGGGGCU
rnacentral:rRNA from 1 species